rnacentral:rRNA from 1 species
GAUGAACGCUAGCGGCAGGCUUAACACAUGCAAGUCGAGGGGCAGCGGGGAGGAAGCUUGCUUUCUCCGCCGGCGACCGGCGCACGGGUGAGUAACACGUAUGCAACCUGCCCCCGCCAGGGGUACAACCCUCCGAAAGGGGGGCUGAUACCGCGUACAUCCCCCGGGGGCAUCCCCGGGGGAGGAAAGCCCUACGGGGCGGGCGGGGAUGGGCAUGCGGCGCAUUAGGAAGACGGCGGUGUGACGGACCACCGUUCCGACGAUGCGUAGGGGUUCUGAGAGGAAGGCCCCCCACACUGGUACUGAGACACGGACCAG